AUUGAACGCUGGCGGCAGGCUUAACACAUGCAAGUCGAGCGGGGGAAGGUAGCUUGCUACCGGACCUAGCGGCGUACGGGUGAGUAAUGCUUAGGAAUCUGCCUAUUAUUGGGGGACAACAUCUCGAAAGGGAUGCUAAUACCGCAUACGACCUACUGGAGAAAUCAGGGGAUCUUAGGACCUUGCGCUAAUAGAUGACCCUAAGUCGGAUUAGCCAGUUGGUGGGGUAAAGGCCUACCAAGGCGAAGAUCUGUAGCGGGUCUGAGAUGAUGAUCCGCCACACUGGGACUGAGACACGGCCCAGACUCCUACGGGAGGCAGCAGUGGGGAAUAUUGGUCAAUGGGGGGAACCCUGAUCCAGCCAUGCCGCGUGUGUGAAGAAGGCCUUAUGGUUGUAAAGCACUUUAAGCGAGGAGGAGGCUACUCUAGUUAAUACCUAGGGAUAGUGGACGUUACUCGCAGAAUAAGCACCGGCUAACUCUGUGCCAGCAGCCGCAGUAA
rnacentral:rRNA from 1 species